GGACUCCUUGCGUAGGCAAAGGUACCUUUACUUGCCCCUACAUUUCACUGUGGGUUUGGCUGCAUCUAGACUGCCACAUCAAAGGCGUUUCCCCCCAGGACUUUGAGGUACUGUUCCAACGCCUUCCAGCACUCAGUGUGUCUGCAGAGAAGUCUGAGAAACUCCAUGGAUGGAAAUCUGGAGACACCUGUUGGGGGAGAAACUACACAUUCUGGAAGACCAGUGGUAUGGGUGUUCGAGCCUUUCAGUCAAUCGCAUCACCAUGCCAUGGAAGCGGUUUACUCUAAUUCUUCAUGAUGGGUUAGAAUGGCCGCAGCAUCUGCCCCUGAGCCCGCAACCACCAAAAGGAGACUACACAAGGGAAGCUGUAGCCGUUCCUGGCUCUGCCUCGAAGGGACUGGCAACAUCGCCUUCCACGCUCUGAGAGCACUUGUUGUCAGGACGCCUAACUGCCUCGCGAGCCUGGCUGUCCUUCUGGAGAGACGGGGGGCGAUGCCACGUGCACGUCCACAGCUGCAGGAGCAUUUUGGCAGAACCUCCGGGUGGCUUCCGCCCCAGCUGCCAAUCAGCUGCAACUCCACGGGCCCCCGAGCCCCGGGGUGAGUCCAGCAGAGCUGCCCAGCUGAGCCCUUUCAACCCGCAGAACCACGAGGGAGGUUGGAAUCGUUGUUCUAAAUAGGGGGGGAACUUGGAGGAGGCCAGAGGGCACCUAGGACACAGGAUGUAAGGAGGCACUCUGCUCUCAGGGACCCAGAUUGUCCUUGCUUGACCUUGACAGUGAACAUCUCCUUAGACCUUGUGCCCUGGGGGCCUCGCUUCCGUCUGCCCAGACCUGGAUUCUCAGCCACGAGGUCUGGGCGGUUUUACCCAGCUCUAGAGACCCGAAGCGUUCGUGGGGCUUGGAGCAGAGCAGGUGCACUGGACUGAACCAGUUAAGGUUCCAUCCCAACUUCCCAGCAAGGGGUUUCCGUAGGAACCCUGGGUGCUCUGGGUCUGACCCUGACCGUUUGUAUCGCACUUUCUUCAACACAGCAUUCCUGGGGUUCUAAACUCUCACUGUCUCCGCU